AAAAUCCCUAACAAAGCAAUUUCUUUUUAAAUUAGGACAUUUUAAAAUUGAUGGGCUCUUUUCAGCCCGUGAAAGUCAGCACUGUUAGCUCCCCAAGCACUUCACAAUCCUUGAAGAUACCGCUGAAGGCAGAGCAAAUUUUAAACGUGUCCCUGGUGGAUAUGCAGUACAGUUACAAAUGCAGAAAGUGUCUGAGCAGAGCUCCUGCAUGGAAAAGAAGUGUCAAGCAGAGAGCAAGAUCCUGAGACACAGAGCUUGUUUAAUUUCUGCUCGAUCCCCAGCAGAUGUGAGAGUGACAGAUGGAGAAGUAUUCAGUGACUCUUGGAAGCCUUUAAGAGACAACAGAUGCCUCCUAACUGUAGAUGAAUUUCUCAGAGGUGCAGAACAAAAGGACAAAAGAGAACAAGGAGCCAGCCCUGCUUUAUCAAGGUACUGAUGCAAACUGGAGCUGCAAAGGCAGAGCAGGCUGUGCUUGGGACGCCUGCAAACAUAAAAGAAGAUGCAGAGAAGGAAUGGACAAAGAAGUGAACCCGGGGACACAAUGUGCCUCGGGAAAUGCUGCCAGCUGUCUGCCCCUGUCCUAUCCUGCCCUGCCACAGUCCUGCUCCGUAUUCCCAAGUGCUCAUUUGACUCAUGCAAAAACUUUUGUCUUUACCCCUUAUGGCUAUUUAAGACUUAAAUGUUGAACAGCAGUUCUGGUUCAGAUAUUUAUCUUCUCAGCUAUAAAUAAAAUAGGGAUACUUGCUGUGUUGAGAAAAGGUUUAGAUUAUAUAGGCAGACCUUCUGUUUGGUAAAAACACAAAAAAUGUUGGGUAAAGAAUAGCUGUUAAUCCUGUAAAUGAGAUAAUGUACAGAGAUAAUCUAGGUGUGUGUGUAUGUACAUUUGUGUGUAAUCCCACUGCAGCCCUCCACUGGGACCAGACUCCUUUGCAGUCUUACAGUAACUCUAUUGGAAUGAGAAAACAAUGGGAAGUAUUGUUUUCUAGCAAUAUUUUAGCACAGUAAAGUAAAUACUUCAGCAAGUAUUUACUAGCAGGAAUACUAUUACCAUGUUUAAUGAAAUUGUGAUCAGUAAAUGGAGCCAGCUGCAAACAUCUUGUUGGUUUUUUUUCCUGAAAAUACCUGAAUGCCUUGGUAUAUGCUUUAUCCUUCAACAAAAAAAUAUCUAUUUUUAAGGCUACAAAUAGCUGUGGGGCAUAGGAGACCCUGAGGGCUGUGCUGCGAUAAAAAUUAUAUAUAAAAUGUUAGUGAAAACUAUAAAACUUCACUUCCAGCAUGGAGGUCUAAUAUUUUUAAGUGCCUUGGGGUGUGAGAAAGGAAUCUGAAUCUCAGAAAUGCUAUCAAGAAUAUUUAGGAUAUGUGGUUAUUGCCUGUUGCGUGUUAACAAUAAGUGGGCUGUUGAAUAAUUGUCCUAAACUCUAAUGGUGUUCUGUGCUGGACAGAAGGGCUGAGAGAUGAUCAUCAAGGGAUGUUCAUCAAGGGAUGCUGAUCGAGGGAUGCACAUUCAGGGAUGAUAAGGGGUCCCAGUGCCCAGCUCCUCCACCAGCAAGGAUUGUUUUCUGUCUGCUCAGGGAUAAAUGGCCAAGAGAGGAUUUUCUCCACCUUCUUUCUAGCAUGAAACUGCCCAGUGGCCAGGUGUGGAAGUGGCCUUUGGAACAGGAACCUAUGUGUCCCAGCACUGUGGGAGAAAUACCUCUGGGAACUCCAGACGUCUAACACUAAUGUUCUCUGGAGGGGCAAAUCUCU
ensembl:lncRNA